ACUAAAGAGGAGACAGAUGCUGUCACUCAUGCAGAAUUUUUUCCCUCUGCAGGGGCAGGUUGCCUAUGGAGUGCCAAGAGUUGCAUAGGAGGAGAUAGAGAGGAUGCUUCUGGGAGAGCUCCCUUACUUUCAUUCUCCCUCAUUUACAAAUAAGCCAAUCACCUGAAAUGCUGAAGACCUCUCAGCAGCCCUUGACUCAGAGCCUGCACUUUGCAGAUGAGCUGCCCAGGGUUGGUGGCCAGUCGGUGACAUGCUGGAGCCAGAACCCAGUGCCCUGACCCACCAGCACACAGGUAAGAAGUCUGGUGGAUUCACUGGAUUCAGAGCUCACACAAUGUCACUGGGACCUGGUUACUCUCCAGCUUUCGAUUCUGCCUUCUGCUGUGUUGGCCUUGGCCUCAGCCUCCUUGUAGAGGUGAAAUGGCACCAGUUCCUGCAUCCUCUGAGGUUCAAGCCCAGAGAGAGAGAAAAACUCUCCUCUCUAACUGUCUAAGCCAGACUUCCAACGGAGGGACCAGAUUUAACUCCCACCUUUAAAAAAAACCAGACAAAAUAUAUGAGACAAAGGUUUUUAGAAAAUGGACAAGAGGCAGCGCAGGACAGUGAUCCUGAGAGCAGAGAAGUAAAUGAAUUGAGAUGUACUAUCACCCCAGCUUACCACCUGCACAGUUUCUAGGCCACAGGUCGGGAGGGGAAAGCUGGGUGGAGCCUGAUAGUCUCCAUGAGUUAAGGAGAUGGAGUUGGGAAUCUGGGGAUUGGGAGGACCCAAGGCAACUGGAGUUUACAGGGUAGAGUAUCACAGGAGAGAGAGAGCUACCCACUGAGAGAGAGAGAACUCCAGAGACCAUUAGAGGGAUGCCCUUGAGUAUUCAGCAGAGCACUAAUGGAUACAUUCAUGAGAGGGGAACACUGGAGGUCCGGAAAGAAUCCUCUGAAGGAAUAGGCAUAAAAGUCCCCAAAGCUCACACAGGUCAGGAAUAUUUUGUGCUCCCACCAGCCAGAAUAGAAAAACCUUGUAAGACAUGGAGCAUCGGCUAGAAUACUCAGAAAUGUGUUGCCUCAAUAGAGGGGCCUAGUUAGCCCUACACUAAAGGCUGCUCUGGUCCUGACUAACACAUCUUAAAUGCAAGCCUUGAAUGGAACUGUUUCCAAGUCAUUUAACUGUACACCAGAACCUAACUCAAGACUAUUAAAAGAAGUACAAAAGUAUCUAGCACUAAGAAGAUAAAAUUAAAAUGUCUGUCAGCCAAAUUAAGAUUUGCCAAGCAUGCAAAGAAGCAGGAAAAUAGGAUCCAUAAUGAAGAGAAAAAUAAAUCAAUAGAACCAGACCCAGAAAUGAUACAGAUAGAAUUAGUAGUCAAGUUCCAGAAAGUAGAGAAGCACAUGAGCAUUUUUUUUAUUAAAUUCAGUUUUAUUGAAAUACAUUCACACACCAUACAAUCAUCCAUGAUAUACAAUCCACUGUCCACAGUAUGAUAACAUAGUUAUGCGUUCAUCACCACAAUCUAU